UCUAAAGUCUCACAGCCAGUAACAGGUACUAUCAGUAAGAGAUACUAUCCAGUAAGUCACCUGAUCUAAAGUCUCAGUGCCAGUAACAUGUACUAUCAGUAAGAGAUACUAUCCAGUAAGUCAUCUGAUCUAAGGUCUCACAGCCAGUAACAUGUACUAUCAGUAAGAGAUACUAUCCAGUAAGUCACCUGAUCUAAGGUCUCACACCCAGUAACAUGUACUAUCAGUAAGAGAUACUAUCCAGUAAGUCACCUGAUCUAAGGUCUCAGUGUCAGUAACAUGUACUAUCAGUAAGAGAUACUAUCCAGUAAGUCACCUGAUCUAAAGUCUCACACCCAGUAACAUGUACUAUCAGUAAGAGAUACGAUCCAGUAAGUCACCUGAUCUAAAGUCUCACACCCAGUAACAUGUACUAUCAGUAAGAGAUACGAUCCAGUAAGUCACCUGAUCUAAGGUCUCGGUGUCGGUAACAUGUACUAUCAGUAAGAGAUACUAUCCAGUAAGUCAUCUGAUUUAAGGUCUCAGUAUCAGUAACAUGUACUAUCAGUAAGAGAUACUAUCCAGUAAGUCCCCUGAUCUAAAGUCUCACAGCCAGUAACAUGUACUAUCAGUAAGAGAUACUAUCCAGUAAGUCACCUGAUCUAAAGUCUCACAGCCAGUAACAUGUACUAUCAGUAAGAGAUACUAUCCAGUAAGUCACCUGAUCUAAGGUCUCACAGCCAGUAACAUGUACUAUCAGUAAGAGAUACUACCCAGUAAGUCAUCUGAUCUAAGGUCUCGGUGUCAGUAACAUGUACUAUCAGUAAGAGAUACUAUCCAGUAAGUCAUCUGAUCUAAGGUCUCACAGCCAGUAACAUGUACUAUCAGUAAGAGAUACUACCCAGUAAGUCACCUGAUCUAAGGUCUCGGUGUCAGUAACAUGUACUAUCAGUAAGAGAUACUAUCCAGUAAGUCACCUGAUCUAAGGUCUCGGUUUCAGUAACAGGUACUAUCAGUAAGAGAUACUAUCCAGUAAGUCACCUGAUCUAAAGUCUCAGUGCCAGUAACAUGUACUAUCAGUAAGAGAUACUAUCCAGUAAGUCAUCUGAUCUAAGGUCUCACAGCCAGUAACAUGUACUAUCAGUAAGAGAUACUAUCCAGUAAGUCACCUGAUCUAAGGUCUCACACCCAGUAACAUGUACUAUCAGUAAGAGAUACUAUCCAGUAAGUCACCUGAUCUAAGGUCUCAGUGUCAGUAACAUGUACUAUCAGUAAGAGAUACUAUCCAGUAAGUCACCUGAUCUAAAGUCUCACACCCAGUAACAUGUACUAUCAGUAAGAGAUACGAUCCAGUAAGUCACCUGAUCUAAAGUCUCACACCCAGUAACAUGUACUAUCAGUAAGAGAUACUAUCCAGUAAGUCACCUGAUCUAAGGUCUCGGUGUCAGUAACAUGUACUAUCAGUAAGAGAUACUACCCAGUAAGUCAUCUGAUCUAAGG